CAGGUUCAUUGUUUUUUGAAAUUGACUUUGUGCUUUUACUGCGCAGCUUAGGUGGAAGGUGAAGAAGGCCUCAGUCCAAGGAGUCCGAGUUAUCGGUCAGAUAUCACUCUGUCUAAACUUGUGUCAGGAUUUACGAGUUAAGAUACUCUCGCACAUAGAUCAAUAUUUAUAGAGCGUAAGUCUCCCAAAAGGUAACGAAAGCAUGUAAAAAGUCCUCGAGUGCAAAGAUAUAAAGGAGUUUGAUUACAAGAUUCACAUGUCGGGUGAGGACGAAAGUACAUCUUGAUGAUUCAAAUGGUACGGAAUAGAAGAAUCGUCACUCAACAUCAAUGGAUAACUUUACUGAUUUAAAUGGUACCGAAUAGAAAAGUCGUCGUUCAAAGGAUAUAAAUCGGGUAGGGACAAAAAUCGGUCUUAAUAAUCCGAUGGUGUCAAAUAAAAAGGGCGUUGUUCAAUAAUCUAAGUAUAACCGUCAAUUUUUAUCAAUAAUUCACAUUGAAGGGAAGAUUUGACACCUCAAUAUCGGCUCUUCCUCACCUAGAUGGUAGUAUGUUCCAAAAUUAUGUUGUUCGCCCAUUAAAAUGAUAUUUGAGUUAAGUUCAGAACCUCGAGGUAUUAC
rnacentral:ncRNA from 1 species